rnacentral:lncRNA from 1 species
AUCGGAGAGAGUUUGGAAGAGGGCGGCAGCACGUCGAGGCAGAGCUUUGCGUUCCUGCGAAGCUCGGCGAGCAAUUCAGCAACACAGAGAAGGAUAGAACGAUGAUGGAAAGCACAGGGGGUUCAAAACCUCAACGCGAAGCUCGGCGUCCACUCGAUUGUGAUAGAGCGGCCGCGUAUGGCAAGAACCACGGCGGCGGUUCUUCCUCUACUCACGACGAGAUCCAAACUGCGACGACGACCGCAAAGAGAGCUCGUUGGCUUCACAGAUGAGGGAAAGGGCACGCGGGGAAGGUUCCUGAGCUUUUAUAGGAGCACGGUAGUCGAUCACGGCAACAAAUCCCGUGGUAAACGGGAUUGGGCUCGGUCCCGAUGUGAAGUCCUGCUUGGCCACGCGAGGAAGAAAGGUUGGAGGCACUGACUUGUGGGGCCCACCUGUCGGUGACCAAAAGCGCGGGACCCGCUUGCCAGCCAAGAGGGAGAGAGAGGACGGCGUGCUGGCUGGCCAUUUGGGCCGAAAGAGGGAAGCGAGGCUUGCUGCGCGCGCUGGGCCGAAGGGAAACAGAAGGGGGAGGGUUUUUUUCCUUUUUCUUUUGUUUGUUUUCUUUUUGUUUCUUUUUAUUUCAAAACCAUUUGAAACUCAUUUAAAAAUUGUUUUGAAUCCUUUUGAAUUUUGAGUUCAAAAACACUCAGCACAAUAAACCAAAAUACAGAAGCAUGAGUGCACAAAAAUGUUGCUACACCCUAAGAUAAAUUUUAUUUUGAUGAAGAAUAUUAUUUCCUAGGUUUCAUGAGAACCAAAAAUUCAUAAAUAAAUCAUUUUUCACCUAUUUUUAAAAUGAGCAAAAUUUUGGGUGUUACAAAUCUACCCCCCUAAAAAUGAAUCUCGUCCUCGAGAUUCGGAAGAGGCACGGAUUCCAAAAGAGAGAUAGGCAAAAGAUAUUGAUCACUAAUUCAACUCCACAACUGGUAUUCCAAAUGCGGACAAUUAUGUCUCAGGAUCACAACUUGUAAACAAAACUUCCAUAAAAUGUCUAUUAUUCGUAUUUGAUCAAGGUCCAUCUUGACUACCAACUUUUUGACUUACAACUCCGAGACAUGAUAGCUUAGCAUGGAUUUGCCUCCUUGGGUAGUAGUGGAUCUCCUUGAUACUCAAUUCUUUUCCCUGACGGUGCGGUUAAAAAUUUUCCACUAGGUAGCAUAGAUCACUCCUUUGUGUGCACAUAUCCAUCCAUUGCCAAGAACCAAAGAAAUGUCGAGUGACUCUAGCACAAUGAGGUUUACAGUGAAGUUUUCCUUCUUUAUGACAAGAUUGAUAUUUGAGCAAACCUGAUCUGCCUGUAUUUCUCCCAUUGGGGUUUGAACUAACAAAGGCUUUCUUGUCAGACACUUCACCCGUUCGAUUGUCUUUACCAGGUUGGCAGAUAUGAAAGAAUGCGAAGCACUUCGGUCAAACAGAGCAAAAACUAGCACUGAGUCCACUUGAAUAUAACCUCCCACCACUUUGGUGGCUCCUUGAAUGUUAUGUCUAUCCACAUUGUUCAGUCUUCCACUGAUAUAAUUUUGUUGUACUUUAUUUCCAGGAGCGGGCUUCUUACGAGCUUUCCUUUUACGCUUCCGCCGUUGUGGAUUUUGAUUUGAUUCAUUGUCAACUUGCUCUUCAAUAUUAUUAUUUGAUAACACUCAGCUUUGUCAUACUCAUAGCAUCUUUCUCCAAAAUCAAGAUGAUCAUAUUCUUCCCACCGAUCCAUGAGAGGCGUCAUAUUAUGCUCCGAAUCCAUGGGACACUACACUCCCUGUCAUCAAGUGACCAACGUCAGUAAUACGGCAAGGAUAGAUGAUCAUAACCGUAGAAUAUCUCAGAAGACAAUUAUCACUCCAAGCUAGUCUUAAAAUGCAUCACCCGUGAUAUCAAGGUACUACCCCCUUAAAAUUAGAUUGAUUGGGGAGACAUUAGGGACUAGUCCUCAUAACCUUUUUAGACGCCACACAUCAUAGUCUUUUACAUUCGUGGUACCGAGUCUCUUGAUCCAAGGUUAGUUUCAUCACUAAGUCCCAAUUAUCGGUAUCUUUAUCACAAUUAAGUUGUUUCACUCUCGCAUCCCAAUUAUAGCUUCGUAAACUUUGGUGUCAUCUGAUCCUCAUAAACAUAACUCUCAAUCCAUGAGUAUCAGCAAUGACAUAAACCUCCAUUGGUAUUAGCACACUCCAAAAGAGAAUGAUAUCCUAAAACAAACCAACAUACCAAGCACUUGAUGUCCUUGUAGAUGUUUUAACUGUUACCAAUCAUUCUCCUUGUAACUCCUUUAAUUAGGAUACCCCCUUAAGACAGGUCAACUAGGGGACACAAGAAAGGUAGCUUGAAUUUUUUUCCAGACAAGUCAACUAAUAUAGAGAACUUCUGACAUCCCAAAGAACUUAUGUGCAAGAGAGCAAACAAGUAUUCUGAAAUUUCCUCGCGAUAUGAAAGACACCAGCGUAGUAAUUUAGGCAUAACUCUUGUUCAGUUAAUCCAAUAGAGUUGUAGCUUAUACCAUUAGAAAGCUUAUGAAAUUCACCACAACUUUCCUGUAGAAGACCUCCUUAGAUUCUGUCUUUAAUCUUAGCUAAAAUAGCCAAACUUAAUAUCCUUCCUGAUAAUGUCUCAGCAAAGGUGCUGUAACUUCCAAAAAUUAUAUCUCGAGCUAAUUAACUCAUCUGGAGGUGAUCCUUACAUAUUUGAAAAUACUAGAAAAUCCUCUACAACUUUCGUAUACAACUUUUUCUCAGAUUCUGUCUUUAACUUGGCUGAAAUUAGAAAAAUGCCAGAUCUGUCUAAAUUUUGAAACAGAACAGAAACAUCCAAUUGUAAAUAUCAUAUCUCAGGUUCUACUUAUCCAAAUAAGUUCUAGCUUAUACCGUUGGAAAGAAUAGAAAAUUGUCUACAACUUUUCUAUAGAACACUUUUCCAAAUUCUAUAGUUAUAUUUGUCUCAAAUAGUAAGUAACCGAAACUGGUCCAGGUUCUUGACAGCACAGUUGUAUCAUCUUGUGAUUUUUGUAACUUCCAAACCAUAACAGCUAUGAGGGUGAUUCUUGUGGUCAGAGAAAGAUAUUGAAGUCUAGUUGUUCCCAGGAAAAUGUGGUAAACUUUGCACGAUCUGAUCUGGAUAUACACCAUGAUUAUUGCAGACUGCUCCAGAAAACAGCAAGGGAUAGAAACAAGAGAUAGCCAAACCAAACUACUUAUUUCACUAAUCCUUAUGCCUUAGGCCUAUGAACUAAUGAAAUUGUGAGGAAAUCCACAAGAUCAUUGCAAUCAUUACAAAGAUCCAAAUCAAGCAUAAACAUAAUAACAAACCAAUUAAGCACACUUCACUCAAUUUGCGAUACUAUCGUUCUCUUCAUAGUAAGGGUAAAUAUCUUAAAACACCUAUUCCAACGAUGCGAGAAGGUGGUAAGAAAAGGUUCUAAUAGCAUACCAAAUCAAGAAGUGAAGGUGAGAACAAGUACUUUUAAAACAAGCGACAAGGUAGAGACAAAUUGCAAGGAUAAGAUAUAGUAUGGAUGAAAAUACCAAAGUUUAUAGAGCAAUGAUUUUAUGACAAUUCCAAAACCUUAAGACGACCAAUUUCUAACUGGGCUUGCGUCCUACAGCCAGCAUUGCUUUGAUACCACUUUGUAAUACCCGAUUUUAAGAACAAAACCAGAUAUGCACCAUAUGUGAGUCUUAGAAGUCAAAUCUCACAUACAGCAACAAAUAAGGGGUAAUAUCAAAAGACAAUGCAUAAAUACAUAACGUACUUAGUAAAAAAAAGAUAACCUUUGAGAGCAAACAGCGGAUAAACAACUCCAAACUUCGGAUAUUAACUUCUCUCUACAGGAUCCAACUGACUGGUUGAUCACAAGCCUAAACUUCUCCUGAGGUUUGGGGGAAAUAGCAAGAGUGAGUCCAUGUCGAACUCAACAAGUAAAGUAGCUAGAUUGUAUAGCUCCCACAAUCUCAUGAUCAAUGUGACAUAAAUAAUGUAAAGCAUUAAAUAAUAAAUAAUGAGCAUAUUUAACACACAGGAAUCUUCAUCGUCGCAGCAAGAAUCCCCAAGGCCGCUUGAGCUCGGCUAGUAUACUAGUUUUUAACCCUCUGCAGAGGUUGCACAUCUUUACCCAUGAGUCAUGAUUUACCCUUUCGUCCGAGGUAGCUAGUCUCUUAACCCCUUCCUAGGGAGGUCGGCAGGGAUCACGAAGUCUUUCAAAGGUUUGUCUAACAAGUUAGGGCCAUUAGAUUCACUCGGCAGGCAGAUAUAGAGCCCCCCUUCCAUGGCACAUAACCCGCAGCCUAUACACACGGACAGAGGCCACACUAUACCCAACGUGUCUAGCCAUUCUUACGCCAUUUAAGGUAACCGCUAACAAGCUAGAAAAAGGUCCUCAUACUGAGCUAAAGCCAGAGCCAUUAUUGCCCUCAUGGUUGCACUGUUAUCCCGGGUGAUCACGUACAGGCAAAUCAUCAAGUUGCUAAAAGUCACUUUUAUCAUUUAUUACUUAACAUUAAUCUAGUCACAGGAUCAUGGUCACAGAAAUAAAAUCCAAAUGCUAUACUUGCAUUGAUCCAAAUGCUCUUGCUGAUCCUUUUGAUUCUGCUAGUCUUUACUUAUUGUCCAAGCUCUGAUCUUGAUCACCCAAAACUGCUCUCCGUCUAAACUCGAUCAUUGAUCACACAAACAAUCAAGAAAACAUACACGAAGCAAAUAAGGCUACAAUUAGAACAGUACACCAAUCAUAUAAAAACAAUAUGAAAAGUUUAUAAAAUGAUUCUACGCAUCGCUACGAUUUCACAGACGUAAAGAUCAUGAAAAUCGGAAUUAAAACGUAGAAGUUAUGAAUUUUCUAAGAUUUUGGAUAGAAAAGUAAUUAAUUAAUUAAGGUCACGAAAUUAAAAAGUUUCAAACUGAGAAAACCAUUUUUCUAACAUGUAGAGCUCAUGAAAACGAACCUAACGCAAUUUGAAUGGGUCAAAUCGGAGUUAGAAUGAAUAUUUUAUGGCCAAAAGAAAUCCAGUGGCAAACUUGUAGUUACAGAAAGCGUAUUUUCGGAGUCAAUCCGGUGCUUUCCGUUUUCCGAAAGAGAAAGCGUAUUUUUGAAAUCCGCUUUAGACUGCGGGUUUAUUUGGGAAAAGCUCAGGGACUCUUUAACAAAAGUGCCAAUGAAGGGGUACGUUCUAAUCUGGAUCGUUGAUCUUGAAUCGGACGACUGAGACUCAAUCUGUGGAAGAACAGGGUGGCUGCCGGCAACGCACAGGAGCCUCACGGUGGCUCCAUGGCCGGAAGUUCGCCGGCGCUCGUGGAGAAGGCACUAGGAACCAUGGUUUUGGAUGGGAAAAGAACCAGGGCGUAGAGGACCUUCGUGUGAACUCACCUAGGCGACUUUUGCGAUCGGAUAGAGUUUGGAAGAGGGCGGCAGCACGUCGAGGCGGAGCUUUGCGCUCCUGCGAAGUUCGGCGAGCAAUUCAGCAACACAGAGAAGGAUAGAACGAUGAUGGAAAGCAUAGGGGGGUUCAAAACCUCAACGUGAAGCUCGACGUCCACUCGAUUGUGAUAGAGCGGCCGCGUAUGGCAAGAACCACGGCGGCGGUUCUUCCUCUACUCGCGGCGAGAUCCAAACUGCGACGACGACCGCAAAGAGAGCUCGUUGGCUUCACAGAUGAGGGAAAGGGCACGCGGGGAAGGUUCCUGAGCUUUUAUAGGAGCACGGUAGUCGAUCACGGCAACAAAUCCCGUGGUAAACGGGAUUGGGCUCGGUCCCGAUGUGAAGUCCUGCUUGGCCACGCGAGGAAGAAAGGUUGGAGGCACUGACUUGUGGGGCUCUCCUGUCGGUGUGCGGGACCCGCUUGCCAGCCAAGGGAGAGAGAGAGGACGGCGUGCUGGCUGGCCAUUUGGGCCGAAAGAGGGAAGCGAGGCUUGCUGCGCGCGCUGGGCCGAAGGGAAACAGAAGGGGAGGGUUUUUUUUUCCUUUUUCUUUUGUUUGUUUUCUUUUUGUUUCUUUUUGUUUCAAAACCAUUUCAAACUCAUUUAAAAAUUCUUUUGAAUCCUUUUGAAUUUUGAGUUCAAAAACACUCAGCACAAUAAACCAAAAUACAGAAGCAUGAGUGCACAAAAAUGUUGCUACACCCUAAGAUAAAUUUUAUUUUGAUGAAGAAUAUUAUUUCCUAGGUUUCAUGAGCACCAAAAAUUCAUAAAUAAAUCAUUUUUCACCUAUUUUUAAAAUGAGCAAAAUUUUGGGUGUUACUCUAGAAAGUGUCAUACAAGGAAUCUCUGAGUUUUAUUUGAAAAAUCUUGCAAAAACUCUGGAGUAAUAGUUGAUCAAAGAGCGAGAAGCAUAGUGCUCAACUUAACUAUUCUGUCUUUCAACUGCUCAAAACCUAAGUCUGGCCGGUGGCGACAAAAUUGUUUGGCCCUCGAGCUUUUGGACUUGUUAUCGUGACGGUGGUCGCGGUUGUCGUAGCGCCGUUCUUCGUGGCGAUUAUUAUUGCGACUGGUGGUCAGAGCAAGUAGGCCAAACAACUUGGUCGUUAGCCCGAGCAGAUCGAUGUCGUCGAUCUGCCUCUCUUUGUAGUAGGGAAGCAGGUGACGCAUUGUCGGCGUGGUCGGAGACGCUCCUGGUGUGGUCGAAACCGUAGCCAGCGUGGUUGAAGCCGCCGCCGACGUCGAUGAAGAAGUGGUUGGCGCAGAUCGGAUCUACACCUCCUCCGUGGUCAUGGCGGUGAAGUUGUUGAGGCUCACGGUGAACGUGAAGUCGCCCGCCAUGGCCGCGAAGUCGGGGAUGAUGACCAUCU